rfam:Camelus ferus unplaced genomic scaffold scaffold57, whole genome shotgun sequence.
GAGGGAAUAGCUCAGUGGUAGAGCACAUGCUUAGCAUGCAGGAGGUACUGGGUUCAAGCCCCAAUACCUCUA